GACGAACGCUGGCGGCGUGCUUAACACAUGCAAGUCGAACGGUAAGGCUCCAGCUUGCUGGGGUACACGAGUGGCGAACGGGUGAGUAACACGUGGGUGACCUGCCCUGCACUUCGGGAUAAGCCUGGGAAACUGGGUCUAAUACCGGAUAGGACCAUGGUGUGGAUACUGUGGUGGAAAGUUUUUUCGGUGUGGGAUGGGCCCGCGGCCUAUCAGCUUGUUGGUGGGGUAUUGGCCUACCAAGGCGGCGACGGGUAGCCGGCCUGAGAGGGUGGACGGCCACAUUGGGACUGAGACACGGCCCAGACUCCUACGGGAGGCAGCAGUGGGGAAUAUUGCACAAUGGGCGGAAGCCUGAUGCAGCGACGCCGCGUGGGGGAUGACGGCCUUCGGGUUGUAAACUCCUUUCACCAUCGACGAAGGGUUUCUGACGGUAGAUGGAGAAGAAGCACCGGCUAACUACGUG
rnacentral:rRNA from 1 species